rnacentral:rRNA from 1 species
CCUACGGGUGGCAGCAGUGAGGAAUAUUGGUCAAUGGGCUUACGCCUGAACCAGACAAGUCGCGUGAAGGAUGACUGCCCUAUGGGUUGUAACCUUCUUUUAUAUGGGAAUAAAACAGGGUAUGCAUACCCUCUUUUAUGUACCAUGUGAAUAAGGAUCGGCUAACUCCGUGCCAGCAGCCGCGGUAAUACGGAGGAUCCGAGCGUUAUCCGGAUUUAUUGGGUUUAAAGGGAGCGUAGGUGGAUUGUUAAGUCAGUUGUGAAAGUUUGCGGCUCAACCGUAAAAUUGCAGUUGAAACUGGCAGUCUUGAGUACAGUAGAGGUGGGCGGAAUUCGUGGUGUAGCGGUGAAAUGCUUAGAUAUCACGAAGAACUCCGAUUGCGAAGGCAGCUCACUGGACUGCAACUGACACUGAUGCUCGAAAGUGUGGGUAUCAAACAGGAUUAGAUACCCUUGUAGUC